rnacentral:rRNA from 1 species
UACGGAAGGGGCUAGCGUUUUUCGGAAUUACUGGGCGUAAAGAGCGCGUAGGCGGCUUACCAAGUUGGGGGUGAAAUCCCGGAGCUCAACUCCGGAACUGCCUUCAAAACUGGUAGGCUCGAGUCCGGAAGAGGGGCGUGGAAUUCCCAGUGUAGAGGUGAAAUUCGUAGAUAUUGGGUGGAACACCGGUGGCGAAGGCGGCGCUCUGGCCCUGUACUGACGCUGAGGUGCGAAAGCGUGGGGAGCAAACAGG